CUAACAGCGUUGACGGAGACGAGUAAGCUGCGUAAAUCCCCAAGCGAGCCUGGUACGGUGCGAGCAGGCGGGAAAAAGCCGGCUGAAAAUCACUCCUGAGCUUUCAGAUGAACGCCGAUAGCGGCAAGUAAUCACGGACGGCAGCCGGCCGUUAUCCCGGCAGGGCAUGGUGGUGCCCGAAAAAGCGCCCCGAGAUAUCGGGGAAAUAGGGUGGUACCGCGGGUAUUUCCCGUCCCUUAC
rnacentral:ncRNA from 1 species